AGAGUUUGAUCCUGGCUCAGAUUGAACGCUGGCGGCAUGCCUUACACAUGCAAGUCGAACGGCAGCGCGGGAGCAAUCCUGGCGGCGAGUGGCGAACGGGUGAGUAAUACAUCGGAACGUGCCCAAUCGUGGGGGAUAACGCAGCGAAAGCUGUGCUAAUACCGCAUACGAUCUACGGAUGAAAGCAGGGGAUCGCAAGACCUUGCGCGAAUGGAGCGGCCGAUGGCAAUUAGGUAGUUGGUGAGGUAAAGGCUCACCAAGCCUUCGAUCUGUAGCUGGUCUGAGAGGACGACCAGCCACACUGGGACUGAGACACGGCCCAGACUCCUACGGGAGGCAGCAGUGGGGAAUUUUGGACAAUGGGCGAAAGCCUGAUCCAGCCAUGCCGCGUGCAGGAUGAAGGCCUUCGGGUUGUAAACUGCUUUUGUACGGAACGAAACGGCCUUUUCUAAUAAAGAGGGCUAAUGACGGUACCGUAAGAAUAAGCACCGGCUAACUACGUGCCAGCAGCCGCGGUAAUUCCAGCUCCAAUAGCGUAUAUUAAAGUUGUUGCAGUUAAAAAGCUCGUAGUUGAACUUCAGACCUGGCUGGAUGGUCUGCCUAACGGUAUGUACUGUCCGGCUGGGCCUUACCUCUUGGUGAGCCGGCAUGCCCUUCACUGGGUGUGUCGGGGAACCAGGACUUUUACCUUGAGAAAAUUAGAGUGUUCAAAGCAGGCUUAUGCUCGAAUACAUUAGCAUGGAAUAAUAAAAUAGGACGUGCGGUUCUAUUUUGUUGGUUUUUAGAGUCGCCGUAAUGAUUAAUAGGGAUAGUUGGGGGCAUUAGUAUUCAGUUGCUAGAGGUGAAAUUCUUGGAUUUACUGAAGACUAACUACUGCGAAAGCAUUUGCCAAGGAUGUUUUCAUUAAUCAAGAACGAAGGUUAGGGGAUCGAAAACGAUCAGAUACCGUUGUAGUCUUAACAGUAAACUAUGCCGACUAGGGAUCGGGCGAACUCAAUUUUAUGUGUCGCUCGGCACCUUACGGGAAAUCAAAGUCUUUGGGUUCUGGGGGGAGUAUGGUCGCAAGGCUGAAACUUAAAGGAAUUGACGGAAGGGCACCACCAGGAGUGGAGCCUGCGGCUUAAUUUGACCCAACACGGGGAAACUCACCAGGUCCAGACAUGACUAGGAUUGACAGAUUGAUAGCUCUUUCAUGAUUUUAU
rnacentral:rRNA from 1 species